AAAUAAGUACACAUUUAAAAAAAAAAUUUUAAUAAAGUCUACUAAAAAUAAUUUAUAAAACACUAUCAAAGUUAUCAUUAUAAUCUCCUUUCCAUCUGUCGCAAAUUACCAUCAGGGAUUCCAUUUUACUUCAUUACACUUUUUUUUUUAAACCAAAUGUGAUUUCAGUGAAACUAAGAGAGCUAGGCUUUGAGAUGCAACCACUUGCCUGAAGAUGAUGGGUAUCCUUUCUGUCCAAGGUUUAUGCAUUCACAGUGCACAUGUAUUAAUAACUCAUUUAUGUAAUA